GGAGACUGACCAGGUACUUACAGACACUGACUUAGUACUUACGUAUUUUUGUCCAGAGCCUGUCACCCAACAUUGAUAGUCACUCUUGUGUGGCUACAGUAUAUAGCAAGCUCAUGCCAGCAAGCCCCAUCUUUGUUCAUCUGGGACAAGAAAUGAGAGGGUGGCCAAUUCAGGUUAGAAAUACUAAAGCUCUGGUUGGUGUUCUCUCAAGGAACUACAGUCGCAUACUCAAGUCUGGUCCAGAGUCAGUAUCAUAAAGACUGUGCUGUUUAUCAACGCAUCUGGGUAGACCUUUCUUGCUGUUUUCUGUUUCUGUGUACAACUGUUACUAUGCUCGGGGCUUUGGGGUGGUACUAGGGAUUGAACCCAGGACCUGGCAGGUGCUGGGCAAGCACUUUACUACUUAGUACAUUCCAGCCUGACUAGCCCUUCAGUGUCGGCAGCUAGAUGCGCUCCCUGCAGAUUAGCAGAUUUAGUAGUAACCCUGGCAUUAGUAUCUUGAAUCCUAGAAAUUUAAAUAAUGUAUUUACACUUAGGGAUUAUUUUUUGUUUUUGUUUUCCUUGUCUGAGCCAUUAAAUGUUUUCAACAGAACUAAUAUUUAAUCCUUAAGAUUUCAUAACCGAGAAGUUUAAAGGUUAACUGUAACAGGAGAAAACAUCUAGUGAAGUUUUAAAGGUAACCAGAUAAGGAAGUACAGAAAGAGUGUAGAAACAUUGACAAGCUCACAAAGCCAAUUUUGUCCAGUUUUCUGAAAACUCCAGUCUGUACGGCUCAAGCACGUGAGUCAUGCCUUCCCUUUUUCUUGUCAGUCACUCAUUCACCCGCUUGUAUUACCCAUGAUUCAUUGUUCCCUCUGCCAAGUAUUGCUCUAGGUACUAGGUAACAACAGUAAAUAAGACAGUCAGAGCGUACUGUGUGCCAGUUCUGUGCCAGGCACUUGGGAACUUGGAACUAGCUGCUUUCGGCUCCACAAUCUGACGUAACGAGGGAAGUCAGUUUUCCCCAGACCUCACCGACUAGCUAUGUGGCUUGAGGGGGGACAGGGUCAGUUCCCUCCUCUCUGAAAUGCUCUUGCUCACUGUUCACUUAGAAGCCUUGAUGUAAGUAUCAGAUGAGAUAGUCAUUUUGAAAGAGCUUUGGAAAGCAUUGGGCCUUGCUUGUAUAGAGACCACCAGUAAUCUUGUAACUGACCAGAGUUCGGGUCAUUUCAUUGCCUCUGUGAAAAGCGUAAAGGGCGUGUGCCCAUUGUACAUUGAAAUGUAUAACUGCCACUUCCUGCCCAUGGGGUGGGGAUUUCAGAAUGAGUUAUGAGGAAUAAUAGCUGCAGCCAGGAAGACUCACACAGGAAACAUAAUGCAGUUCAUACAUGGUAUGUGUUAGGUAUAAAGUGCUCAGAUGCAGGGGCAGAGAAAAGAUAAGACGGGAGUUGGCCUCUGACCUCAAGAAACAUAGACAUGUAUAUGAAAAUUCAGAGUGCCCAAAUAUAAACCCUGAGCUUAAUUAUAGUUUCCCAGGGAUUACAGCUAUUCAUUUGCCCCCUAAACGUUUCUAAAAGUGUUCUGAUAGCCAUCAGGGUGCCUGCUGGGAUGUGGUGAUAAGAUGUUGCUUCCAGUUUCAUAUUUUAUUAUCUCUCAUGUCCACUGUACUAAUAUUUUAGACUGAGGUAAGAAAUGUGGUCUGUAUAGAGAGAGAUUUCAUUCAGAAGGUUGAUUCCCAGGACCCUCAUCAAAGAGCCAGCAGACUCACGCAGAGUUUGGUUUGUAAGUGUUCCUCCCUAACAUUAAAUCCCAUCAUGUAGAGACUCGAGAAUCUCCGUCACAGCUGAGAGUGAUGUCACAGCAUAAUCCUAGCACUCAGGAGUCCAAAGCAGGAAGAUCAAAGAAAACCUCAACCUGACCAGCAUGGUGGUCCAUACCUUUAACCCCAGCAUCAGGGAGGCAGAGGCAGGCAGAUCUCUAUAUGAGUUCCAGGACAGCAAGGACUACACAGAGAGACCCUGACUCAAAGGAGAAAAAUGC
rnacentral:lncRNA from 1 species